rnacentral:rRNA from 1 species
AUUGAACGCUGGCGGCAGGCCUAACACAUGCAAGUCGAACGAGUGGCGGACGGGUGAGUAAUGUCUGGGAAACUGCCUGAUGGAGGGGGAUAACUACUGGAAACGGUAGCUAAUACCGCAUACCAUCGGAUGUGCCCAGAUGGGAUUAGCUAGUAGGUGGGGUAAAGGCUCACCUGGGCGACGCUCCCUAGCUGGUCUGAGAGGAUGACCAGCCAGAAUGGAACUGGUGCACGGUCCAGACGCCUACGGGAGGCAGCAGUGGGGAAUAUUGCAGAAUGGGCGCAAGACUGAUGCAGACAUGCCGCGUGUAUGAAGAAGGCAUUCGGGUUGUAGAGUACUUUCAGCGGGGAGGCGUUACCCGCAGAAGAAGCACCGGCUAACUCCGUGCCAGCAGCCGCGGUAAUUC